rnacentral:rRNA from 1 species
AGCGAAGCAUAUAACAUGAAGUUUUCGGACGGCUUGUUAUCUGACUGAGCGGCGGACGGGUGAGUAACGCGUGGGUAACCUGCCUUAUACAGGGGGAUAACAGUUAUCAAUGACUGCUAAUGCCGCAUAAGCGCACAGUACCGCAUGGUAGUGUGUGAAAAACUCCGGUGGUAUAAGAUGGACCCGCGUCUGAUUAGCCAGUUGGCGGGGUAACGGCCCACCAAAGCGACGAUCAGUAGCCGACCUGAGAGGGUGACCGGCCACAUUGGGACUGAGACACGGCCCAAACUCCUACGGGAGGCAGCAGUGGGGAAUAUUGCACAAUGGGGGAAACCCUGAUGCAGCAACGCCGCGUGAGUGAAGAAGUAUUUCGGUAUGUAAAGCUCUAUCAGCAGGGAAGAAGUUGACAAAACAUGAUUAAGAAGCCCCGGCUAACUACGUGCCAGCAGCCGCGGUAAUACGUAGGGGGCAAGCGUUAUCCGGAUUUACUGGGUGUAAAGGGAGCGCAGACGGCAGCGCAAGUCUGGAGUGAAAGCCCGGGGCCCAACCCCGGAACUGCUCUGGAAACUGUGCGGCUAGAGUACUGGAGGGGCAGGCGGAUUUCCUAGUGUAGCGGUGAAAUGCGUAGAUCUUUGGGGGAGCACCAGUGGCGAAGGCGGCCUGCUGGACAGUAACUGACGUUGAGGCUCGAAAGCGGGGGGGGCCUUUAGGGAAAGGUNCCNUGGUNGUCCNCGCCGUGNGCGGCCCUUUAUGGUGUGGGGGAGCAAAGCUUCCCGGUGCCGCCGCAAACGCAUUAAGCAUUCCACCUGGGGAGUACGUUCGCAAGAAUGAAACUCAAAGGAAUUGACGGGGACCCGCACAAGCGGUGGAGCAUGUGGUUUAAUUCGAAGCAACGCGAAGAACCUUACCAAGUCUUGACAUCCCCCUGGCCGGACCGUAACGGGUCCUUCCCUUCGGGGCAGGGGAGACAGGUGGUGCAUGGUUGUCGUCAGCUCGUGUCGUGAGAUGUUGGGUUAAGUCCCGCAACGAGCGCAACCCCUAUCCCCAGUAGCCAGCAGUAAGAUGGGCACUCUGUGGAGACUGCCAGGGACAACCUGGAGGAAGGCGGGGAUGACGUCAAAUCAUCAUGCCCCUUAUGAUUUGGGCUACACACGUGCUACAAUGGCGUAAACAGAGGGAGGCGAAGGAGCGAUCCGGAGCAAACCCCAGAGAUAACGUCCCAGUUCGGAUUGCAGGCUGCAACCCGCCUGCAUGAAGCUGGAAUCGCUAGUAAUCG